CAGAAUCUUCAGAAAAUACGCGUCAGCGAUGUUCAUCGCAUUGUUGAUGCCUGGUCCCCUGCUCCGACAAGCAAGAGGGACAAGGGCUUUAAACUCUACAUAUCGAGUUAUCUGCACAACUACAAGGGAGCACACACUCUACAAAGGCCUGACUGGAGAUUUGCCUGAUCUAUCCGUCCUUCAGAUGACAGCGGCUCACUUCAAGAGCAGGUGAAGCAAGUUGGGACAAUGUUGAAGACAUUUGCUCGCACUGGGCAAUCGGGU